rnacentral:rRNA from 1 species
GCAAGUCGAACGAGACGGCUAUGAUUGAUCCUUCGGGUGAGAGAUUAACUAGAAAGCGGCGGACGGGUUAGUAACGCGUGAGUAACCUGCCCCAUACACAGGGAUAGCCAUUGGAAACGAUGAUUAAUACCUGAUAAUACUAAAUUAACACAUGUUGGUUUAGUCAAAGAUUUAUCGGUAUGGGAUGGACUCGCGUCUGAUUAGCUAGUUGGUAAGGUAACGGCUUACCAAGGCGACGAUGAGUAGCCGACCUGAGAGGGUGAUC